CCUACGGGAGGCAGCAGUGAGGAAUAUUGGUCAAUGGUCGCGAGCCUGAACCAGCCAAGUCGCGUGAGGGAGGACUGCCCUGCGGAUUGUAAACUUCUUUUGUCAGGGAAUAAAGUGGGGCACGUGUGCCCUGUUGUGUGUACUUUAUGAAAAAGGAUCGGCUAACUCCGUGCCAGCAGCCGCGGUAAUACGGAGGGUGCGAGCGUUAAUCGGAAUUAUUGGGCGUAAAGCGCUGGUAGGCGGUAUGUCAAGUCAAGGGUGAAAUCCCCGGGCUCAACGGUGGAACGGCCUUUGAAACUGGCAAACUGGAGUGGGUGAGAGGAGAGCGGAAUUCGAGGUGUAGGAGUGAAAUCCGUAGAUAUCGGGAGGAA
rnacentral:rRNA from 1 species